rnacentral:rRNA from 1 species
GUGACCUGCGGAGGAUCAUUAUUGAUUGUAAACUGUUGCCUUCUGUGCUGGCUCCUGCAAGUGCACGUCGGUGACUUUCAUUCCAAUACCCUUGUGAACCUUUGGCCUCUUGCUAGCUUCAGCUGGCAGAGGAUUCUACAUACAACUCGAAUGUAAUGAAACUCUUGUUGUGCACAAGCACUACUAUACAACUUUCAACAACGGAUCUCUUGGCUCUCGCAUCGAUGAAGAACGCAGCGAAAUGCGAUAAGUAAUGUGAAUUGCAGAAUUCAGUGAAUCAUCGAAUCUUUGAACGCACCUUGCACCCUUUGGUAUUCUGAAGGGUAUGCUCGUUUGAGUGUCAUUGUACUCUCACACUCCCGAUCUUGAGUUGGGAGCGGUGGACUUGGGUUUGCUGCUUUACUGUAGCUCACCUCAAAUGUGUUAGUGCAGCUCUUGGUUGGACAUAGUACGGCGUGAUAAGUAUCUUCGCCGGUGCCUCGCAAAGAGGGUGGCCGAUCGGGAUGUUGUGCUCCAAACUGUCUUCGGACAAUCUCUGACAACUUGACCUCAAAUCGAGUAAGACUACCCGCUGAACUUAA